rnacentral:rRNA from 1 species
CCUACGGGUGGCCGCAGUGGGGAAUUUUGCGCAAUGGGGGAAACCCUGACGCAGCAACGCCGCGUGAUCGAUGAAGACCUUCGGGGUGUAAAGAUCGGUCAGUGGGGACGAAACCUGACGGGACCCACAGAGGAAGCACCGGCGAACUCCGUGCCAGCAGCCGCGGUAAUACGGGGGGGGCAAGCGGUGUCCGGAACCAUUGGGCGGAAAGCGUUCGUAGUUGGCCCGUUAAGGCGGGGGUUAAAGGCGGCAGCUCCACUUCCGUAGGGCACUGGAUACUGGCGAGCUUGACUGCGGUAGUGGUCACGGGACUUCCUGGUGUAGCGGUGAACUGCGUAGAUAUCCGGCGGACCCUCGGUGGCGUACGCGCUUUCCUGGGCCGUACUUGACCCUGAGGUACGACAGCCGGGGUAGCAACUGGGAUUAGAUACCCCUGUAGUC